GACGAACGCUGGCGGCGUGCUUAACACAUGCAAGUCGAACGGUAAGGCUCCAGCUUGCUGGGGUACACGAGUGGCGAACGGGUGAGUAACACGUGGGUGACCUGCCCUGCACUUCGGGAUAAGCCUGGGAAACUGGGUCUAAUACCGGAUAGGACCAUGGUGUGGAUACUGUGGUGGAAAGUUUUUUCGGUGUGGGAUGGGCCCGCGGCCUAUCAGCUUGUGGGUGGGGUAAUGGCCUACCAAGGCGGCGACGGGUAGCCGGCCUGAGAGGGUGGACGGCCACAUGGGGGCGGAGACGCGGCCCAGACUCCUACGGGAGGCAGCAGUGGGGAAUAGUGCACAAUGGGCGGAAGCCUGAUGCAGCGACGCCGCGUGGGGGGUGACGGCCUUCGGGUUGUAAACUCCUUUCGCCAUCGACGAAGGGUUUCUGACGGUAGAUGGAGAAGAAGCACCGGCUAACUACGUG
rnacentral:rRNA from 1 species